CGCAGUGUUUACGACAUAAUCCUGUUGGUAACUUGGCAUGGCUACUUCAAUACUCUCCCUCAUCCUUCCUUCUCCAUCCCCUUCUACUGCUACUAAUCAUCUUCUCCCUUUCUCUUCUGAUUUCAAGGGCAAGCCAACAACUCUGAGGGAGAAUCCAUCCCCAUUUCCUUCCAUAAAUCUCUAUUUGUAGCCUCGGAAGUCUCUUCUCGUUCAGAAUUCUGCUGGAAAUGCUCGAUUUCCCCUCGAUAAUCCCGGAAGAAGGCGAAAAGAAAGGGUCCGCCGGGCAGGGGGGCAGCUGCGGCUUCGGAAUGAGGGGUCAGAAAUCGAGGAGGGGAUUUCAGGGCGGCCAGAUGCCCCUCUAUCGAAGAAUCCCCAAAUUGAGGGGAAUUGCUGGAGGUACUAUAAUAUUUCUUUCAAAUUGUUGAAUCAAUUUGCCUAAUUAUGUUUUUAUUUGGGUAAAUAGUGUUGGUGAUUAUCUUCUCAUAGGAUUAUGAAAGGUGGUUGUGAGUUUGGUUGAUUUGAAUUUCUGAAGUCUAAUGGAUUGUGUAUAUGCUAUCUAGUUACUGAUAUCGAGUAGAGUGGAUUCAUUCUUGUUAUUUAAUUUCAGGUCAUUCAAUGUAGUUUGUUCCUCUAGUACAGUCUUAUUAGAUUAAGUUCUAGAUCAUAAGCCUUGUGUUGUGUGUGUGCUUUGUUGAGUGGAAAGUUUAGAGUAUUGAGGUAAAAUGUGAAGAGGGCUUCCUUUUCGUUCGAGUUCUUCAUAGCAGCAGUAAAGUUAUACUAUUAGGAUAUCAUGCUUGCCAAAUAUUUUCAUAUUAAUUACUUGGUCUAUUUGAGAAUAUAUGUAGAAGGGUAUAAGAUAUUUCUAUAUGUAAUUAUGUAUUGGUUGGUUAGCUUGAUUGAUCACCUUGUGUGUGACUUUUUUGUUUUAAGAUGUGUUUCAGUUUUUACAAAUAGUAGCCUGUGAGUGCACGCACAGAUGCGAGUUGCAGGUGUAUGCAGUCAGGAUAUGCUUGUCAACGAUUGUCUCUGUGGCUGUAUUUUGUUUCAAAUGAUGUUUGGGAACAAGUAAUCGUAAUCUUUAGUACCUUGGGGAAGUUGGUUGCUUUAUUUGAAUUAAGUUCAGUUGGUACCUCAUAAGUCAUAACUAAUUUUUUUGCAUCAUCUGUUUGCAAUGUUUGAAGCUUCUUAUCUGAUGAUCAUAGCAUUGCGAUACCAGUUUUGUGAUGUAAACCUCCUCGUUGAUUAUUCUGUAAACUUUCCUGCCUGAAGCAUCAUCUGAGAUGUUCAAAUGAGCACAUUAUAUACUUAAGUUAUGCGGAUACUAAUGUGGCUUGCUUUCGUAUAUCCUGGCAUAGUGCUGGACUACCAAUGUAUGUACCUGUGAACUUGAAAGAUAUUGCAGAUGCUGAAUUUGAAGAAGGAGAAGAAGUUUCGUUGGAGUCCUUGUCUCCUUGAAGGGAAAGAAGACUUCCUCUCAAUGUAACGAACAAUUGAAUGCUAAAAUAUCUUAGGAGAGGGACUUGAGUGUGAAGCUCGACUUCAAGGCCCGAGCUUUCUCAGCAUCAGCAAAAGAGAAGAUUGAGGCAGCUGGUUGCUCACUACCUGUGCUUCCAGGGCGAAAGAAAUGGGUGAAGCCAUCUGUAUCGAAGAACCUUGCCCGUGCUGAAGAGUACUUCGCCAAGAAACGUGCUUCAACUGACUGGACCGACUCACCUUCUGCUUGAGCCUCAAUUUUCUGAGGUAGUAUAAGAUAUGUAAAGCAAGUAUUCAUUGUUGUAUGUUCAAAAUUUUAUCUUUUGUAGGUUUUUUACAUUGAAACCAUAUUGAGUACUAUUUGUUGAAUAUGUCAAAUUGUAUCAAAUGGUUCAUACGGCUGGUGUUGAAUUAA